rnacentral:rRNA from 1 species
AACGUAGGAGACAAACGUUAUCCGGAGUUACUGGGCGUAAAGGGUGUGUAGGUGGCGCCGUAAGUCGGGUGUGAAAUUUCGGAGCUUAACUCCGAAACUGCAUUCGAUACUGCGGUGCUUGAGGACUGGAGAGGAGACUGGAAUUUACGGUGUAGCGGUGAAAUGCGUAGAUAUCGUAAGGAAGACCAGUGGCGAAGGCGGGUUGCUGGGCUGACACUGACGCUGAAGCGCGAAAGCUAGGGGAGCGAACGGG